ensembl:snRNA U2 U2 spliceosomal RNA
AUCGCUUCUCGGCCUUUUGGCUAAGAUCAAGUGUAGUAUCUGUUCUUAUCAGUUUAAAAAGGACAGGAUGACAGCCUGCAAUUCCAAAAUAACUUCUGAGUAAAAUGUGGGCGAGCACCCUCUCAUCACCCUGCUCCCUGGACUCCAGGAGGUCACUGCCACACUCAGGCAGAUGUUCUCUUCUUUC